AUUGUAGUCUGCAACUCGACUACAUGAANCCGGAAUCGCUAGUAAUCGCGAAUCAGAAUGUCGCGGUGAAUACGUUCCCGGGUCUUGUACACACCGCCCGUCACACCAUGGGAGCCGGAAAUGCCCGAAGUCAGUGGCCCAACCGCAAGGAGGGAGCUGCCGAAGGUGGAGCUGGUGACUGGGGUGAAGUCGUAACAAGGUAAC
rnacentral:rRNA from 1 species